GGGCUGCCAGAAGCUGCCGGUUUCGUGGGAGGCAUUACAAGCGGGAGUUCAGGCUGGAAGGGGAGCCUGUAGCCCUGAGGUGCCCCCAGGUGCCCUACUGGUUGUGGGCCUCUGUCAGCCCCCGCAUCAACCUGACAUGGCAUAAAAAUGACUCUGCUAGGACGGUCCCAGGAGAAGAAGAGACACGGAUGUGGGCCCAGGACGGUGCUCUGUGGCUUCUGCCAGCCUUGCAGGAGGACUCUGGCACCUACGUCUGCACUACUAGAAAUGCUUCUUACUGUGACAAAAUGUCCAUUGAGCUCAGAGUUUUUGAGAAUACAGAUGCUUUCCUGCCGUUCAUCUCAUACCCGCAAAUUUUAACCUUGUCAACCUCUGGGGUAUUAGUAUGCCCUGACCUGAGUGAAUUCACCCGUGACAAAACUGACGUGAAGAUUCAAUGGUACAAGGUACGGCUUUAAAAAAUGCCAUUUUACUAAAAUGUGUUUUCUUUUUUUACUAGCCAUAAAAGAAAGACUUAAAAUAUCGAUUUUCUGAAGACAGUGCACACACACACACGCACAAACACACACAUGGUUUGCCUUUCAUAUCUGUGAGUUCCACAUCCUGGGAUUCAACCAACCUGGGAUUGAAAAUAUAAACAAAUAAACAAAUAAAAUAACAGUACAAUACAAAUAAUACAAAUAAGAAACCAACACAGUGCAUCAUCUACUGUCACAUGCUGCAUGACAAAGUUUCAGUCAACAGUAGGCUGCAUGUACAAUGGUGGUCUUGUAAGAUUAUAAUGGAGCUGAGAAAUUUCUAUUGCCUAGUGACAUCAUAGCUGUCUCAACAUCAUAGUGCAAAAUAUUACCUUUUCUAUGUUUAGAUAUGUUUAUAUGUAC
rnacentral:lncRNA from 10 species